rnacentral:lncRNA from 10 species
UUCCGCACUAUAUAAACCCCCCAAUUUUAAUCAGUUGGGAAGAUGGAUUUGAGACUUUCUCUCUCAUUCUCUACAGCUAUAGCACACAAUUAAAGCCUUCUUCCCUGGCAAUACUUAUCUCAGUGAUUGGCAUUCUGUGCAGUGAGCAGCAGGUUUCGUCUAGACCAAACCCCUGGCAUUUUGGUAAUAAAUGUACAUUAAAGUAACAUAAGCUAUUGAUUGGCUAUACAUUCUCCUUUGCAUCAAAAAUCUCAGGAACAUGAAAAUAACUGGUGAGUUUGCUAGUCAGGAAACUACAGGGAAGAAAAGAAGAACAAAAUGUCUUUAAACAAUUGCCCCUGGGCAUGGGUGCUGGGUGCAUGACUGAAGUCUCAUACUCAUGUCUUUCUAUGCCUGAUAAAUUUUGCAUACCUUACAGUUCAGACUGCUCUGAGCUGUUCUCUUUUUUCUCUGUCACAUAGCUACCAAAUGCCAGAGGCUUACUUUGAAUACGGACAAUAUAAUUCUAGAACUUAUGUUCUUAACCACUUCCUUGUGUUUCAUGGGGUAGAGAAAAGACAGAUUAAGUGCUUAAGUGCUACAGCUUAAAUUCAAUUUAAUUUUAGGCUUCCAGCUUUCAAUUUAGUUUUUCAGAUUCACAUGUGCUGCAAAUCACUUUCUUCAUCCUAUCCAACUCUGGCCAAGAAAAAGCUCAUGUGUCCAUUAGCCCUGAUGUUGACAUCCCUCUCAGCAUUUUAGACUAAAUGUGUCUACUCUAAAUUCACCUACUCUAAAUUCAAUCUCAUAUGUUCCCUCUGGGGCCCAGGAAUAUGCUGCUAGACAACUCUUAGAAUGAUAAUAAAUUAUUAGAGCAAAGGGACAAUGAUUAUCCCAUGUAGAACUAGCAUGUUAACUCAGAAUGGGAGACAUAAAAAGAAGCACUCCACAAAUAAGGUGGAAGAAAUGGGCCCUAACAUUUAGCUCCCAACUCAAGAGAUUCUAAUAACUUGAGUAUAUAAAAGUCAGGCCCAAAUGAUUGCUGAGCCAUUGGAGAAAAGGAGAGGAGAAACAGGUUUCUUCAACAUUGUUCAGAAUAUGCAAGACAAGAAAUUAAGCAUUACCCAAGUCAUGAAGAGCAAGAAUAAGGAUGGGAAGCCCAGGGUCUCAAAGGUGCCACUGCCACUCUAUCCCUCAACCCAGCCAUGAGCAAGGAAGGUGGGAUGAAAUGCUCACUCCUCACUUCCAUUUAAGAGAACAUUGAUACAUCAGUCAGAGGUCCAGCAAAAGAUACAUGAUAUAUUGAAAUGGAGUAAUGAGGAGAACUCAACAAGGGAACCACCGGCAAUGUACUAGGUAGCCUUCCCAGAUCCACUGGUAUGUCCCUGGACUGGUCUUCUGUGAGCAGCUUCUCAGGAUCAAUUAUCUUCCUACUUAACACCUCUUGAACAGGAAGCCUUUAAGUGCCACUGUUUCUAUUAAUCUUCUAGACAGCCCACCCUUCUCCAUAUCACUGUCCUGCCCGAGCUCAGGUCCCAUAAUCUCUCCUAAACCCAGAAGUCCUUUAUGUGGUCUCUGUAUCUCUGCCUGGCACUUCCAUCCACCUUCCACACUGCCACCAGAAUGAUUUAUCUAAAAUAUAAAACUGACCAUGAUGCUUCAGAAAUUGACCAGUGACACCCAAUUAUUUACAAAACCCAGGCUCCUUGAUGAGCAUAUGAGGCCUGUCAUGACUUGGCCUGUAGUUUUCUCCCCAGCUUUAGCAGUAACCACUCCUCUCCUUGCAAUUUAUGCUUCAUUGACUUAAAUCACUUGUGACUUCCAGAAUACACAUUGCUGUUUUUUAUAUUUUUGCUCCUGUAUAUUCCAUUUUCUCCCCUAAAAUGGUUUUCGUCUCUACUCUAACACCCAGGACCCAUCCUGGGGGUGACAGGUGGUGGGAAAAGGGAAGGUUAUUAGCCCAGGCCUCACCCUCACAAAGGGCUGUGAAUAUAGCCCUUCAAUUUAUCUACAAAUAAAGUUAAAUGUAGAGUCACAAAGAUGCAGACAGUAAUGGGAAAUGAAGACAUGCUCCAUAUAACUUUAAACUCAGUCCCAUAAUUAAAUCAAUCUACCGAUAAUGCAUUAUAAAGAAAUUUUACAAAAUAAAUCCUUUAUUUUGUAAAUUACACAAUUUUUGUAACCCUGAUUACACACCUUUUUUACUUUAAAAUUUUUUACCAUACCAGAAGACUAAAAAAAAAAAAAAAAUUAAAUUUUAAAAAAGGCAGUGACCCUCUCUUUGCCUCUAAAACCUGCUGCUGACUUCUUCCCUAACUUAACUCCAUAAACUUCCUGCUCCCUGGCAUUAUGUCUGUACCUACAGGACAUUUCUCAUGCCCAUGGCACAUUUCAUUGAAAUUAUUUGUUCUGUUUUCCCUGCUGGACUGUGAGCUGCUUGAGAGCAGGGUUUUCAAGGCACCAAGCAAACAAAUUUGGAUUGAUUCCAUAUAUAAUAGUUAUAAUAAUAAUAUACAAUACUAAUGGAAACAUUUCAAAAGUAUCCAGCAUCACUCAUUGCCUUUAUAUACAUUUUAAUGGACUAAUCCCUCCAAGAAUCCUAUGAGAUACGAAACUAAGACUUACAGAGGUCACUGGCAAUAAAUGGCAAAGCCAGAAUUCAGACCUAGGCAAUCUGGCUUCACAG